CGCUCGACAAGCCAAAGCACCACAACGCGAAGGUGGCGAGGGGAUGGGAGACGCCUACGCGAAGCGGGUGCUGCUCACUGCAGCUGGCUUACCGCAGCUGGCGACACGGGUAAGUGUUGCUGCUAAGUUCAAUUCUUUUGUUCUUUCUAUUUCGUUGUUUUACUGGGAGAAUUUGCUUACCCUGGUAAACAGUACUCAUGCCAUGCCUUGUGUACUACAUUGUUGCUUUUUAAAAUCAGCUUUUGAGAGUGAGAUUCUCACCGACUGUUGUCACGUUUGUGUUUCUAUGUUAUCCAUUUUGAAGGAUCAGAAAAGGAGUGUGCUAAUAGUUCCUACGACACACAUGAUAUUGUGAUAGGAUCAGCUUGGUUGGACUACCUGAGCUGCUAAACGUGAUCAGCUUGGCUGUCUGAGCUUCCAAUCCACAGUCUUGAUCCUUUUCGCUAUUCAUAUGUAUACUAGAUCAGUGGUUUUUAUUUUCUGCUCAUAUAAUAUGAGAAAAUUUCUUUCUUUUUACUUUAUUCUGCUUACAUUAUAUAACAAGGAAAUGUGGAGUGUUGUUUACAAGUUCACCUUGAUCGUAAUUUGACUGCUUAUGUACGACAACAAAUAAUCAUGUUCCAAAAUCGUGCAUUUCUGGUCAUGAUAAGUGUUUUCCUUUCUAUCUGACUCCAUUCAAGAUACUCUUUUCUGGUCAUGAUAAGUGCUUUGGUGUUUACUGUUUGAUACUCUUUUUAUCUAGCUCAUUAUGAGACUUCCCUUUGUGGGUUGUCAUGAUAAAUGUUUUUCUUUAUGUCUGAGCUCAUUCAAGACUUUUUUGAGUGCUUUAGCGUUUUCUAUUUUCUUAAUAAGAUGUGUGAUUUUACCUAUCUAUUUAGUUAUUUGUACAACAGGCGUAGUCUGAUUUGUUCUGCAUUAGUACAUUGUUCCCAAGCACACGAUAAGGUGUACUUAGACAAAUCUAGCAAGCAAUGUAUCACCAUUUACCAAUCAGACUCAAAAUAGUAAACAAAGAGAAUAAAAAUUAGGGAAUUAGGACUGUGCGGAGUCAUCUUACGAGGGACACGGAGAGAAGAUUUACUGGAUACAUGUGAGUAAAUUGGGGGUUUCUAGCAUUGUGCUUACUCUUAGUGGUGGUUGAUUAAGAAUGCAAGUGGGUAAGUGGGUUCGAGCAGCCUGCUUAAAAUGGUCUAUUUGCUGGUUUGGACUACAUUUGCAUCCCUACAUGUUGAUUGAUGCUAUCAACCACUUAUUUGCAAUUGAUAUUUAAACUUAAAACUUUAGUAGUGUCCUAAAUUGUUGCUUUGGAAAAAUUCAUUUAGCUUCUUCGCUACGGAUGUCUUACCUAUGGGAGUCCAUGUCCCACUUAAAGCUUGUUACCAAUAUGAGGGCAAAAAACGACCCUUGGUUUGCGGAGUAUUUGCUGCGCAUAGGCGGUGGAACUGAGGACACAAAUACUGACGGCGACAUCCGUCUUCCUGACGAGGUAUGUGUGCCUUAUAUUGGGAGUGACAGCGAUCUUGACAACCUAAUAGACUUUGUUUUCCCAAAUCUCAACAAAAAUAUGUCUGAUUCGACCUACAUCACUUCAAGGGCGAUACUAUCAACGCGGAACGAAUGGGUGGAUAUGAUAAAUGUUAAGAUGAUUGAUCGUUUUCAAGGGGAGCAUAUGGUGUACCAUAGUUUCGAUAGCGCCAUGGAUGAUCCCCAUAACUACUACCCACCCGAGUUCCUAAACACACUGACGCCUAAUGGGCUGCCACCACAUGUUUUGAAGCUCAAGAUUGGAUGCCCUGUUAUAUUGCUUCGGAAUAUAGACCCUGCGAAUGGACUUUGCAAUGGCACCAGGCUGAUCGUUCGUGGUUUCCAAAGAAAUAGCAUUGACGCAGAAAUUGUACUGGGUCAACACGCUGGAAAACGGAUUUUCCUGCCGCGUAUACCUCUGUGUCCCUCUGAUGAAGAGAUGUCCCCUUUCCAGUUCAAAAGAAAGCAGUUUCCUGUACGGCUUAGCUUUGCAAUGACGGUUAACAAAGCAUAGGGUCAGACCAUUCCCAACGUUGGUGUAUACUUGCCCGAACCAGUGUUCUCUCAUGGCCAACUAUACGUUGCUCUAUCUAGAGCGACAGCCCGAUCAAACAUAAAAAUUCUUGCAAUCCCACCCGUCGAUGGGAAGAAAACGUUGAGGAAGGGUGUAAGAAAGAACCCCACAGUUGAUUGUGGAACAUAUACUAAGAACAUCGUCUACAAGGAGGUCCUAACAAACUAGACCUACGGUAAGUCUGUUAAAACUCAAUUGUUUGUUUCAAUAAAAAGACACCGACACAAGACUAACACUCAAUUGAUUUUGAUUUUUUUGGGUAGGACUGAGAAGUGGAAUGCUGACAUCUUUUAGACAGUUUGAAAGCAAACCGAGAGGCAUGGGUGUUCAUCAACUCUUACUCCGCGCAUUGCCAGAGUGAGCUGCAAGACACAUGGUUCGCAAUUAAUUCAGGGUGUCUGAAAGGACCAAGUACUUUACAAGAGAUUUAGACGAUAAACGAUAUUACUUUUGAAAGUCAUGUAUUUUUCUAUAAGACUCACGUGUGAAUUCAAACCAGGCAAACAGAACUUAUUAUUCUUAAAUAGGAAUUGGAAAAGUAUAUCUUCUUGCU